UAGGGAAUCUUCGGCAAUGGACGAAAGUCUGACCGAGCAACGCCGCGUGAGUGAAGAAGGUCUUCGGAUCGUAAAACUCUGUUGUUAGAGAAGAACAAGGGUGAGAGUAACUGUUCACCCCUUGACGGUAUCUAACCAGAAAGCCACGGCUAACUACGUGCCAG
rnacentral:rRNA from 1 species